GACGAACGCUGGCGGCGUGCUUAACACAUGCAAGUCGAACGGAAAGGCCCUGCUUUUGUGGGGUGCUCGAGUGGCGAACGGGUGAGUAACACGUGAGUAACCUGCCCUUGACUUUGGGAUAACUUCAGGAAACUGGUGCUAAUACCGGAUAGGAGCUCCUGCUGCAUGGUGGGGGUUGGAAAGUUUCGGCGGUUGGGGAUGGACUCGCGGCUUAUCAGCUUGUUGGUGGGGUAGUGGCUUACCAAGGGUUUGACGGGUAGCCGGCCUGAGAGGGUGAACGGCCACAUUGGGACUGAGAUACGGCCCAGACUCCUACGGGAGGCAGCAGUGGGGAAUAUUGCACAAUGGGCGGAAGCCUGAUGAAGAAACGCCGCGUGCGGGAUGACGGCCUUCGGGUUGUAAACCGCUUUCGCCUGUGACGAAGCGUGAGUGACGGUAAUGGGUAAAGAAGCACCGGCUAACUACGUG
rnacentral:rRNA from 1 species